rnacentral:rRNA from 1 species
ACGAACGCUGGCGGCGUGCUUAACACAUGCAAGUCGAACGGAAAGGCCCUGCUUUUGUGGGGUGCUCGAGUGGCGAACGGGUGAGUAACACGUGAGUAACCUGCCCUUGACUUUGGGAUAACUUCAGGAAACUGGGGCUAAUACCGGAUAGGAGCUCCUGCUGCAUGGUGGGGUUGGAAAGUUUCGGCGGUUGGGGAUGGACUCGCGGCUUAUCAGCUUGUUGGUGGGGUAGUGGCUUACCAAGGCUUUGACGGGUAGCCGGCCUGAGGGGGUGACCGGCCACAUUGGGACUGAGAUACGGCCCAGACUCCUACGGGAGGCAGCAGUGGGGAAUAUUGCACAAUGGGCGGAAGCCUGAUGCAGCAACGCCGCGUGCGGGAUGACGGCCUUCGGGUUGUAAACCGCUUUCGCCUGUGACGAAGCGUGAGUGACGGUAAUGGGUAAAGAAGCACCGGCUAACUACGUG